UAGGGUGAGCUGCCGCAUGGGCUGUGGCCUGCUAGCAUUUGAUAGGUGAGCAUGCGCAGUGUGUUUACUGGAGUUACAUGCAUGCUCAUCUGAGACAGUCUUCCCUUACCGGUCAGAUGCCCCUGGGAGAUCACAUACUAGCUAAACUCUGCCAUUUUGCCUCUUAGUGUGCAUGCUUGAGCUCAUUUACCCAACUCCUGAGAUCUUAGGAAGCUGCCGAUCACUAGUUUCAGGUGUGUCCUAUCUGUAGGGCGACUGCCUUUCCCUGGUGCUGGCUGCAACCUAUUAUUAUUUUAGAGAGGCAGUGUGACAACGGCCUGACCAUCACCUGAUGGUUGCCUGACUUUCCUGGUGGGGUGUGGGGGCCUCUCCUGCCCUGUUACUGUCUGAAUAACCACUAAAACAAUCUCAAUUCAAAAUCUAGCCAGAUGUUCAGCUUGUCUUUAAACCUCUAAGACUCCUUCAUUUCCAAUAAAAUGACAUUAAUAAGAAAUUUCACGGAGUUUUCAGGAUCACAUGUGCAUUUUUUAAAUGGGAGAGCAUUAUAAAAUCUAUAUAAAAUUUAGUUGUUAUUAAAUGGAAAACAUCAUCUUUUAUAGUGAGAGUUGACAUCAUCUGGCCAUAAGCUUAAUUUAAUAUGAAUUAUAAACAUUUUUUCACAUCUAGUAAUUUAUUCUUUCUCAAUUUGGAUAUAAUAGGACACAAUUCAAAAUAUGCAUUCACCACCUGAGGAAAAUAUACCUGUCAUUUUUCUGAAAUCAAUGCUUCUGUUUCUCACUAGCAAGCUAAGUGGAAAAGGUAUAUACAGGUCAAAUGUAGCAGGUUAGACUGUAAAAAAAAAUUAUACAAAACUCUCGACCUGACGGAGGGUAUUCACUUUCCCUAAAACAAUCUUUUAACCACUGAAAAGUAAACUUCAAAUUUCAGAAGUUCAGUUGAAUUUAAGCACCCCCAAAAUUUGGCUGUUGAUCCAAAUGUUAUUUGAAACUUUAUACCACAUAUAAUUAUACUGAAAAUUGUAUUAAAACAGGAUGACUGUCUGGUACUAUUUUCAUGCAUUUUGCCUUUUUAUAUAACCAUAACAGAGGGUCAGAAACAUACAUAAAAAUAAUUUAUGAAAAUAAGCCACAUUUUUUGGAAAUAUAGGACAGGACUAAAAUUGGAUCAUGCUUAUCAUGUAUAAAGUUCAAAUUGUUUUAAAUGCAUUCCCACGCAGCAGUUCAAGAAAGUGAAAAGUAAAUGGUUCAGGUGAUCGUUUUCUCUUUAAGGUGUGAAAGCAGAUAAUACAGCGAUGUAAAGAAAGCCACCAAUUUCUUCACAUAUAGUAAGAUAAGAAUUGUUAUUCCAUAUGUAGAAUACUGGAGAGUAUAUAUAUGAAAUACCCAUCUUGCUAUUGGCUGAUAAAGGUUUACUUAAUCAAAGACUAUAAAAUUCUCGAAGUUAUGAGCUGUGGUGGCUCAGGCCGGUGUCCUGGUGCAUAAGGAAGUGAGACUACGUGUUCACGGCCAACAUGGGCAACAUUAUAAACCUCUCAUCCAUUUAAAAAAAAAAAAAAAAA
rnacentral:lncRNA from 1 species